rnacentral:tRNA from 1 species
CUUCUCGUGGUGCAGUUGGUAACGAGCCUGUCUAGCGAGUAGGAGUCGUGAGUUCGAGUCUCACCGAGAGGA